CCUCCUCCUCCUCCUCCUACGAUCUGUUUCCUCUGUCCGAGUGAUGUAGGGUCACGAGAAUGGGGAAACACCUUCCAAGGAGAAAACACACAUGCACUUUCACAACACACACACACUCGCACAGAGCUCCUUGCAGAGUCCCUGAUGGUGAGAGAACGACACAUGCUGCAUGAGACGAACUGGGAUAGCAACAUUUCUCCAAACUGAAGGAGACGGAGAUGGACCCACAAUCCUUUGCUCCCAAACACUGAAGACAGACAAGAACCAGAGAAAAAGCAGAGCAGAGAUAAAGAGGAAAGAAGAAACAAAGAUUUGUGGAGCUUUAACAUGGGAUGAGUUCCUGACGUCAGUGACUUCAGGAACUUCCUGUUUAUGGCCAGCUGUGCCACAGUGUAUCCUGACUGAGAUCCUGGCCUCUGAGCUCUGACCCCCUAACCCUGGAGGGGCAGGGGGGGUCGACGGAGAGAAAAUGCGGUGUACCACCC